rnacentral:rRNA from 1 species
CCUACGGGAGGCAGCAGUAGGGAAUAUUGCUCAAUGGGCGCAACCCUGAAGCAGCAAAGCCGCGUGGAGGAUGAAUGUUUUCGGAUUGUAAACUCCUUUUGUUAGAGGAGAUAAUGACGGUAUCUAACGAAUAAGCACCGUCUAACUCCGUGCCAGCAGCCGCGGUAAUACGGCGGGUGCAAGCGUUACUCGGAAUCACUGGGCGUAAAGAGCGCGUAGGCGGGAUAGCAAGUCAGAUGUGAAAUCCUAUGGCUUAACCAUAGAACUGCAUUUGAAACUGUUAUUCUAGAGUAUGGGAGAGGUAGGUGGAAUUCUUGGUGUAGGGGUAAAAUCCGUAGAGAUCAAGAGGAAUACUCAUUGCGAAGGCGACCUGCUAGAACAUAACUGACGCUGAUGCGCGAAAGCGUGGGUAGCAAACAGGAUUAGAUACCCGUGUAGUC